UAGAGUUUGAUCCUGGCUCAGAAUGAACGCUGGCGGCGUGCUUAACACAUGCAAGUCGAACGAGAAAGGGAUUGCUCGCAAUCCCGAGUAGAGUGGCGCACGGGUGAGUAACACGUAGAUAAUCUGCCUUCAAGCCUGGGAUAACUAUUCGAAAGGGUAGCUAAUACCGGAUAAAGUCGAUUUACACAAGUGGAUUGAUGAAAGAUUGCCUCUUCUUGAAAGCAAUUGUUUGGAGAUGAGUUUGCGUACCAUUAGCUUGUUGGUGGGGUAAAGGCCUACCAAGGCAACGAUGGUUAGCUGGUCUGAGAGGAUGAUCAGCCACACUGGAACUGGAACACGGUCCAGACUCCUACGGGAGGCAGCAGUGAGGAAUUUUGCGCAGUGGGGGCAACCCUGACGCAGCACGCCGCGUGAGUGAAGAAGGCCUUUGGGUCGUAAAGCUCUGUCACCAGGGAAGAAGUUACAUUGUUAACAGAUGAUUGUAUUGACGGUACCUGUGGAGGAAGCGCCCGCUAA
rnacentral:rRNA from 1 species